rnacentral:lncRNA from 7 species
UUCUCGGCUGUGCUGCCGACGAGCCCGUACGAAUCGCCUAAUCGCCGCAUCCGGGCGGGAUACGGUCCACGCUGCCAAACCAUCUUGGGUAUAAAUUGGUGGCUCGUGAUCCUGAUGCCAUCGCCAUUGAAGCGUGGCCCUACCACCAAGAGCAGAGAGCUACUACCAGGCGAGUUUAAGCAGAUGCAUGGCGCCGUAGAUAGAUCCGUGCCUCUGCCAUCCAUCAAGCUCCCGCUUGGAAUCUAUGUGGUUUGUUAGGGUCAGAAGGAUGGAACCAUGGAGAUGUUAAGCUUGAAGGUCAGCAGGAGCAACGAUGGCUGCUCGCCGGGGGUUGAGCAUGUAGCAGACCAGAACCACGUCGUGGGCGGGUGCGACCACGCUGCAGCACUAAGCGCACUGUUGAAUAUCAGGAGCUUCAUCAAUCAGAAAAGCUUCGACAUAACACAAGAGGAGCAAAACAAACUUCGUCUAACAAGUUUCAUCACGGUGAAAACGAAUAGACAACGUGGCUUCGGCAUAACGAAGGAGAAGUACAACGAAGCAUGCUUCAUCAAGCAUGCUUCAUCAAAACGAAGCAAUGAGAUAAUGCAAGGGGAAGGUGUUGCUCAAGUUAUUAAAUGUAAAUGGCGAUGUUACCCUUGUGACAUUUUGU